rnacentral:rRNA from 1 species
CAGGGUAAUUGCCUUCAGUCACGGCGAGUGAAGCGGCAACAGCUCAAAUUUGAAAUCUGGCCUCUUCGGGGUCCGAGUUGUAAUUUGUAGAGGAUGUUUCGGGUACCGCCCCGGUCUAAAUUUCUUGGAACAGAAUGUCAAAGAGGGUGAGAAUCCCGUCUUGGACCGGCGGUAGGGCCCGUGUGAAACUCCUUCGACGAGUCGAGUUGUUUGGGAAUGCAGCUCAAAAUGGGUGGUAAAUUUCAUCUAAAGCUAAAUAUUGGCCAGAGACCGAUAGCGCACAAGUAGAGUGAUCGAAAGAUGAAAAGCACUUUGAAAAGAGAGUUAAACAGUAUGUGAAAUUGUUGAAAGGGAAGCGCUGGCAACCAGACUUGCGCGCGGCGGUUCCCCCUUCCUUUUGGUUGGGCUACUCCGCCGUGUCCAGGCCAACAUCGGUUCUGGGGGCCGGUUAAAGACCCUGGGAAUGUACCUACCCUUCGGGCGUAGACUUAUAGCCCAGGGUGUCAUGCGGCCUCCCGGGACCGAGGAACGCGCUUCGGCUCGGAUGUUGGCGUAAUGGUUGUCAGCGACCCGUCUUGAAACACGGACCAAGGAGUCUAACAUCUAUGCGAGUGUUUGGGUGUCAAACCCGGAACGCGGAAUGAAAGUGAACGGAGGUAGGAAGCUUCGGCUGCACUAUCGACCGAUCCUGAUGUCUUCGGAUGGAUUUGAGUAAGAGCAUAGCUGUUGGGACCCGAAAGAUGGUGAACUAUGCCUGAAUAGGGUGAAGCCAGAGGAAACUCUGGUGGAGGCUCGCAGCGGUUCUGACGUGCAAAUCGAUCGUCAAAUUUGGGUAUAGGGGCGAAAGACGAAUC